GUUUUUAAAAUGAAUCAGAGUUUUUUUGACUUUGCAAGCUGUGUAUAUAAGCUUAGAAUUUGAAUGCAUCGUGUAGUUCAUCCAACACCAAACAGCAAAAAUGAAAUACAUCUUCGUUGUCCUCAUCGCCUUUGCACUCUACCACUUUGCGAUUACGCAAGAUCCUUGCGAUCCCGGUGACCAAGAGCCUGGAUGCGAUUGCACUGGAGUAGGUGAGGCUUUUUGGAGUGGAACGCCCGAAUCCUGCCAGUUCAUGUGCAUGAGUGAGGAGACCCUCUUUACUUGCGCAGAAAUAGCAGCAGCACCAGCAGCAGCGCCAGUUUAAAUACAAAAACAAACGCACUUGUUUUGUUUACUAACAAUUAUGUCUAGAAUAGAAGGUAACCUGAA